AGUUUGAUCCGUGGCUUAAGGACGAACGCUGGCGGCGUGCCUAACACAUGCAAGUCGAGCGGAGUCAGUAAGAGGAAGUUUUCGGAUAGAAUCUUGUUGAUUUAGCGGCGGACGGGUGAGUAACGCGUGAGCGACCAACCUUGCACAGGGGGAUAACGGACCGAAAGGUUCACUAAUACCGCAUGAGACCACGGUGUUGCAUGACACAGAGGUCAAAGGAGCAAGUCCGGUGCAAGACGGGGCUCGCGUCCGAUUAGGUAGUUGGAGGGGUAACGGCCCACCAAGCCUAUGAUCGGUAGCCGACCUGAGAGGGUGAUCGGCCACAUUGGAACUGAGAUACGGUCCAAACUCCUACGGGGAGGCAGCAGUGGGGAAUAUUGGGCAAAUGGGGGAAACCCUGACCCAGCAACGCCGCGUGAAGGAAGAAGGUUUUCGGAUUGUAAACUUCUGUCCUUGGGUGAAGAGAAGAAGACGGUAGCCAAGGAGGAAGCCCCGGCUAACUACGUGCCAGCCGCGGC
rnacentral:rRNA from 1 species